GAUGAAGAACGUAGCGAAAUGCGAUAAGUAAUGUGAAUUGCAGAAUACAGUGAAUCAUCGAAUCUUUGAACGCAUCUUGCGCUCCUUGGUAUUCUGAGGAGCAUGCCUGUUUGAGUGUCAUUUCAAGUUCUCAACCACAUCAAUUUCAAUGUGGCUUGGAUGGUGGGGGUUCUUUUUGCAGGCUUCUGUAAAUAUGAAGUCGGCUCCCCUGAAAUGUAUUAGUGGUAUCUGAGCUACUACAGGUGUGAUAACUAUCUAUGCCUUGGUAUGCUGCAUGAAACAGAUUGCGCCGCUUCUAACAAGUGGGAAACACAAUUUUGAUGAAUUUGACCUCAAAUCAGGUAGGACUACCCGCUGAACUUAAGCAUAUCAAUAAGCGGAGGA
rnacentral:misc_RNA from 1 species